rnacentral:lncRNA from 1 species
CAAGACGGCCAUUAGCGUGCCAGGUAUAGCCCGAUAGCUGCUUUUUAAAUCGGCGACAGAAAAGGGUGCCGAAUUUUCAUUGAUCGAUCGGAAGAACGCCGACCUCCAUGCCACCAUCAAAGAUAACAUCGUCGGAGGUCCUUCCAUCAUUUUCACCCGUCACCACCAGUCAGGAAAGACGAAAAUCAGGGGAGGUAAGACUUGUGAAAAGGUGGUGGGGUACGACGCUAAUGCCUUGUACCUGUGGGCAAUUGGACAGGCUAUGCCAGAAGGCGCGUUCGUGCGUCGUAGAGUCGAAAACGCUUUCAAACCGGAACAUAGGGAUCAGUAUAUGCAGGCGUUUAACUGGUUGAAUUAUUUAAACAAGUACGAAGGGACCCAUAUCCUCCACCAAAGGAAUCACGGCAAGGAGAUCCGCUUCGGAAAAUACCCAGUAGAUGGUUAUGACUCCGAGACCAAGACCAUCUACGAAUUUCAGGGGUGUUAUCACCACGGACACCAAUGCGUCGUCACCAAAAACGUCACCAACGAAAGGUGGCAUCAAAUCAAAGACGCCCUGAUGGAGAGGACGGAAGAAAAGGUGGCUCAACUGCGCCGUAUGGGCUUCAACGUCGUGGAGAUGUGGGAGUGCGAGUUCCGGGACUAUUGUAAAACCCAU